rnacentral:rRNA from 1 species
GCCAUAGCACCCUGAGUGCACCCGAUCCCAUCUAAUCUCAGAAGCUAAGCAGGAUUGGGCCUGGUUUUUACUUGGAUGGGAGGAGAACAGAUUUAAUUUGGCU